GUGGUAGUGCUGGGAAUAGAGUUGUCGCCGGUUUGCCAAUUGAAUUGUUCCUUGUUAACCCAACACCGGAGCAUUCGACGCGCCGUGUUUCCCCGAAGCGCCACUAUUGUGGCUUACUAUCGCCGAUCGGUUCCAACCUUACCGCCCCCGAUCACCUUCAAACGCUCUCCAGUCACCUCCGCAUUCUACACUAGAAAAUCUAUGUUACAGCACUCGUUGUGUCUGGCAGUCCGAUAAGCUACAUACACUGCAUGAGUAGUCCUGAGCGUCCGGAAGCAUCUCCCCGAAUGCCCAUCAUAGUUGAUGGAGUUCGUUAUCUCCGAGGCGAUCCAUCUGCGAGUGAAACGGUAGUUGCAGCCCUCGCACGUAUUUCAUCUCGGAUGUGAUGGCGAUGGCCGGCUACAAUGACCAACGGGAAGAAACGAGAAGCUGGGUUUAAUACUCGAAAUUAGAUUAUGGCUGGGGUCGCUUCGUCGAUGUGCUCUCGAAGAUAAUGCUACGUAAUCACAUGACGAGUAUUUUGGUACAAAAAGCAGAAGAACGCAUCAGAAAACUGAAAUGUCUUUAUGAGAAUAAUGACCUUUGGGUUAAAACAA